GAGGGUAUAGUUCAGCAGGUAGAGUGCUUGACUCGCAAGCACAAGGCCCUGGGUUCAAUCCCCAGCACCCCCU
rnacentral:tRNA from 1 species